CCGUUUAUCGGGUCCGUCAGAUGAGACGCCGCGUUUCCAUCUAGGGUAAAACCAGCGUUCUUCUACUGCAGACCUCAUGACGAUUAGGUUUCACUAUUGUUCUUUCAUCUUCUUCCUCACAUUACAAACGAAUACGAUUACCGGAUAAUCCUCUUAAAACCCUCCAUUAAUCUAUCACCCACGAUCUCCAUUCAAUUCGAGUUCUGAUUAUACAAGGCUGUGAAGGUUCAUCUAUAAAAAGCAGCUGGGCCGUUCCUCUUCCCCUGCUGAAGUCGGGUUGCUCCGUUUCUGGGAUGCCAGGAAUGUACGCCGUGGUGGAGAGUUCAUGGGAGUUGAUAUGCUCCUACUGGAUUGUCAGGCGAGCAUGAUGGCGGCCACCAUGAAUGUCAACCAACUUGCGACUCACAGAGGAGCUAUGCUAAAGUGGAAUCUCUGAGCAUAGCGGAGCUUAAUGAUUUUGUCAUCACUGCUCCCUCUCAG